AUUGAACGCUGGCGGCAUGCUUUACACAUGCAAGUCGAACGGCAGCGGGGUAGUGCUUGCACUACUGCCGGCGAGUGGCGAACGGGUGAGUAAUAUAUCGGAACGUACCGAGUAAUGGGGGAUAACCAAUCGAAAGAUUGGCUAAUACCGCAUACGUCCUGAGGGAGAAAGCGGGGGAUCGCAAGACCUCGCGUUAUUCGAGCGGCCGAUAACUGAUUAGCUAGUUGGUGGGGUAAAGGCCUACCAAGGCGACGAUCAGUAGCGGGUCUGAGAGGACGAUCCGCCACACUGGGACUGAUACACGGCCCAGACUCCUACGGGAGGCAGCAGUGGGGAAUUUUGGACAAUGGGGGCAACCCUGAUCCAGCCAUGCCGCGUGUAUGAAGAAGGCCUUCGGGUUGUAAAGUACUUUUGUUAGGGAAGAAAAGGGAAGUGCUAAUACCACUUUUUGCUGACGGUACCUAAAGAAUAAGCACCGGCUAACUACGUG
rnacentral:rRNA from 1 species